GACGAACGCUGGCGGCGUGCUUAACACAUGCAAGUCGAACGGAAAGGCCCUGCUUUUGUGGGGUGCUCGAGUGGCGAACGGGUGAGUAACACGUGAGUAACCUGCCCUUGACUUUGGGAUAACUUCAGGAAACUGGGGCUAAUACCGGAUAUGAGCUCCUGCUGCAUGGUGGGGGUUGGAAAGUUUCGGCGGUUGGGGAUGGACUCGCGGCUUAUCAGCUUGUUGGUGGGGUAGUGGCUUACCAAGGCUUUGACGGGUAGCCGGCCUGAGAGGGUGACCGGCCACAUUGGGACUGAGAUACGGCCCAGACUCCUACGGGAGGCAGCAGUGGGGAAUAUUGCACAAUGGGCGGAAGCCUGAUGCAGAAACGCCGCGUGCGGGAUGACGGCCUUCGGGUUGUAAACCGCUUUCGCCUGUGACGAAGCGUGAGUGACGGUAAUGGGUAAAGAAGCACCGGCUAACUACGUG
rnacentral:rRNA from 1 species